GAUGAACGCUGGCGGCGUGCCUAAUACAUGCAAGUCGAGCGAAUGGAUUAAGAGCUUGCUCUUAUGAAGUUAGCGGCGGACGGGUGAGUAACACGUGGGUAACCUGCCCAUAAGACUGGGAUAACUCCGGGAAACCGGGGCUAAUACCGGAUAACAUUUUGAACCGCAUGGUUCGAAAUUGAAAGGCGGCGUCGGCUGUCACUUAUGGAUGGGCCCGCGUCGCAUUAGCUAGUUGGUGAGGUAACGGCUCACCAAGGCAACGAUGCGUAGCCGACCUGAGAGGGUGAUCGGCCACACUGGGACUGAGACACGGCCCAGACUCCUACGGGAGGCAGCAGUAGGGAAUCUUCCGCAAUGGACGAAAGUCUGACGGAGCAACGCCGCGUGAGUGAUGAAGGCUUUCGGGUCGUAAAACUCUGUUGUUAGGGAAGAACAAGUGCUAGUUGAAUAAGCUGGCACCUUGACGGUACCUAACCAGAAAGCCACGGCUAACUACGUGCCAGCCGCCGCUGUAA
rnacentral:rRNA from 1 species